CACGGGGGGAGCAAGCGUUGUUCGGAAUCACUGGGCGUAAAGGGCGUGUAGGCGGUCAGGUUAGUGAGAUGUGAAACGCCCCGGCUCACCCGGGGACCUGCAUCUCAAACUGCCUGGCUUGAGUAUGGGAGAGGAUGAGGGAAUUCCUGGUGUAGCGGUGAAAUGCGUAGAUAUCAGGAGGAACACCGGUGGCGAAAGCGCUCAUCUGGCCCAAUACUGACGCUGAGGCGCGAAAGCUAGGGUAGCAAACGGG
rnacentral:rRNA from 1 species